rnacentral:rRNA from 1 species
GUGGGGAAUUUUGCGCAAUGGGCUAACGCCUGACGCAGCAACGCCGCGUGGAGGAUGAAGGUCUUUGGAUUGUAAACUCCUGUCAGCGGGGAAAAAGCGACCCGACCUCAUACGUCGGGAAGUUGAUUGUACCCGCAGAGGAAGCCCCGGCUAACUCUGUGCCAGCAGCCGCGGUAAUACAGAGGGGGCAAGCGUUAUUCGGAAUUAUUGGGCGUAAAGGGCGCGUAGGCGGCUUGGCAAGUGGAAGGUGAAAUCCCUCGGCUUAACCGAGGAACUGCCCUCCAAACUGCUUUGCUUGAGGCCGGGAGAGGUGAGUGGAAUUCCCAGUGUAGCGGUGAAAUGCGUAGAUAUUGGGAGGAACACCAGUGGCGAAGGCGGCUCACUGGACCGGUUCUGACGCUGAGGCGCGAAAGCGUGGGGAGCAAACGGGAUUAGAAACCCUUGUAGUCC